UGAGAACAUUCUCAACUGUGACCCACUAUUGGACUGGUUUGCUGAGAAAUCGAGAGCACCUUAAAGUCACUGACAAAGAAGGAAAGGACAUAUUUUGCAUGCUUGACUUGACAGUCACUGUCAGGGACUGCAUGACCCUGUACAUGUGCCAGCUGGAGAAAGAGGCUGGCAUUGAUCCUCAUUUUGGAGAUAGUUCGCCUUUGCUGAAAAGCUGCUCGUCUUCUAGACAACAAGUGGUUUGCCUCUGUGGGAACUCUGGAUUUCAUUCAGUCCACAAGAGAGGAAACUGGUAAAGAACUCAAGAGUGGGGUGCUACCUUCUGCAGAAGAACCCUGAGGCACUCCCAUUUUAAACAGAGACCCUGAUAAGAACGGCCUUGAAUUUUCAAAACAAUUGAUGGGAGAAGGAACUACAACAAUAUCAGCUAUUCUGAUAAGAAAUUAUGAGAGCUGUGACUAUCCUAGAACUCACCCUAUAGAUCAAGGUGUCCUAGAACUCACUGAAGAACUGUCACUAGGAAGACAUUACAUGAGUUUUACCAAUCUCAUAUUACUGUGAUGAGUUGAUCCCAGAAUCAGAA